rnacentral:rRNA from 1 species
GAAUGCUGACAUAAGUAACGAUAAAGCGGGUGAAAAGCCCGCUCGCCGGAAGACCAAGGGUUCCUGUCCAACGUUAAUCGGGGCAGGGUGAGUCGACCCCUAAGGCGAGGCCGAAAGGCGUAGUCGAUGGGAAACAGGUUAAUAUUCCUGUACUUGGUGUUACUGCGAAGGGGGGACGGAGAAGGCUAUGUUGGCCGGGCGACGGUUGUCCCGGUUUAAGCGUGUAGGCUGGUUUUCCAGGCAAAUCCGGAAAAUCAAGGCUGAGGCGUGAUGACGAGGCACUACGGUGCUGAAGCGACAAAUGCCCUGCUUCCAGGAAAAGCCUCUAAGCAUCAGGUAACAUCAAAUCGUACCCCAAACCGACACAGGUGGUCAGGUAGAGAAUACCAAGGCGCUUGAGAGAACUCGGGUGAAGGAACUAGGCAAAAUGGUGCCGUAACUUCGGGAGAAGGCACGCUGAUAUGUAGGUGAAGCGACUUGCUCGUGGAGCUGAAAUCAGUCGAAGAUACCAGCUGGCUGCAACUGUUUAUUAAAAACACAGCACUGUGCAAACACGAAAGUGGACGUAUACGGUGUGACGCCUGCCCGGUGCCGGAAGGUUAAUUGAUGGGGUUAGCGGUAACGCGAAGCUCUUGAUCGAAGCCCCGGUAAACGGCGGCCGUAACUAUAACGGUCCUAAGGUAGCGAAAUUCCUUGUCGGGUAAGUUCCGACCUGCACGAAUGGCGUAAUGAUGGCCAGGCUGUCUCCACCCGAGACUCAGUGAAAUUGAACUCGCUGUGAAGAUGCAGUGUACCCGCGGCAAGACGGAAAGACCCCGUGAACCUUUACUAUAGCUUGACACUGAACAUUGAGCCUUGAUGUGUAGGAUAGGUGGGAGGCUUUGAAGUGUGGACGCCAGUCUGCAUGGAGCCGACCUUGAAAUACCACCCUUUAAUGUUUGAUGUUCUAACGUGGGCCCCUUACCGGGGUUGCGGACAGUGUCUGGUGGGUAGUUUGACUGGGGCGGUCUCCUCCUAAAGAGUAACGGAGGAGCACGAAGGUUGGCUAAUCCUGGUCGGACAUCAGGAGGUUAGUGCAAUGGCAUAAGCCAGCUUGACUGCGAGCGUGACGGCGCGAGCAGGUGCGAAAGCAGGUCAUAGUGAUCCGGUGGUUCUGAAUGGAAGGGCCAUCGCUCAACGGAUAAAAGGUACUCCGGGGAUAACAGGCUGAUACCGCCCAAGAGUUCAUAUCGACGGCGGUGUUUGGCACCUCGAUGUCGGCUCAUCACAUCCUGGGGCUGAAGUAGGUCCCAAGGGUAUGGCUGUUCGCCAUUUAAAGUGGUACGCGAGCUGGGUUUAGAACGUCGUGAGACAGUUCGGUCCCUAUCUGCCGUGGGCGCUGGAGAACUGAGGGGGGCUGCUCCUAGUACGAGAGGACCGGAGUGGACGCAUCACUGGUGUUCGGGUUGUCAUGCCAAUGGCACUGCCCGGUAGCUAAAUGCGGAAGAGAUAAGUGCUGAAAGCAUCUAAGCACGAAACUUGCCCCGAGAUGAGUUCUCCCUGACUCCUUGAGAGUCCUGAAGGAACGUUGAAGACGACGACGUUGAUAGGCC